UACGUAGGCAGCGAGCGUUGUUCGGAAUUACUGGGCGUAAAGAGUGUGUAGGCGGUGCUCUAAGUUCGGUGUGAAAUCUCCCGGCUUAACUGGGAGGGUGCGCCGGAAACUGGAGUGCUCGAGCGUGGGAGAGGAAAGCGGAAUUCCUGGUGUAGCGGUGAAAUGCGUAGAGAUCCGGAGGAACACCAAAGGCGAAGGCAGUGUCCUGGGGAGUACCUGACGCUCAGGUGCGAAAGCCAGGGGAGCGAACGGG
rnacentral:rRNA from 1 species